ACCUGGCUGGCUCAGUCAGCAGAGCAUGUGAUUCUUGAUCUUGGGGUUGUGCGUUCGAGCCCCAUGUUGGGUA
rnacentral:tRNA from 1 species